CCUACGGGUGGCAGCAGUGGGGAAUAUUGGACAAUGGGCGAAAGCCUGAUCCAGCCAUGCCGCGUGUGUGAAGAAGGCCUUCGGGUUGUAAAGCACUUUCAGUGGGGAAGAAAGCCUUGGGGCUAAUACCCUCGAGGAAGGACAUCACCCACAGAAGAAGCACCGGCUAACUCCGUGCCAGCAGCCGCGGUAAUACGGAGGGUGCGAGCGUUAAUCGGAAUUACUGGGCGUAAAGCGCGCGUAGGCGGUCUGAUAAGCCGGUUGUGAAAGCCCCGGGCUCAACCUGGGAACGGCAUCCGGAACUGUCAGGCUAGAGUGCAGGAGAGGAAGGUAGAAUUCCCGGUGUAGCGGUGAAAUGCGUAGAGAUCGGGAGGAAUACCAGUGGCGAAGGCGGCCUUCUGGACUGACACUGACGCUGAGGUGCGAAAGCGUGGGUAGCAAACAGGAUUAGAUACCCUGGGUAGUC
rnacentral:rRNA from 1 species